rnacentral:rRNA from 1 species
AGCGAACGUUAGCGGCGGGCCUAACACAUGCAAGUCGAGCGAGAAAGUGGCUUCGGCCAUCAGUAAAGCGGCGGACGGGUGAGUAACACGUAGGUAAUCUUCCCUUGAGCGGGGGACAACGUUUCGAAAGGAACGCUAAUACCGCAUACGUUCC